rnacentral:lncRNA from 10 species
AGAGUUUUGGCCUCAGCCGUUUGACUCUAAUCAGGAAAUCAUUUUUAGAAAGAUUUGUCAGUGUAAGAAAACAAGCUCCUGAACUAAAUUAGGAUCUGGAUUAUUUUUCCCUCCUCUCUCGAUCUGCAGUGCAAGGCAGAGUGGUGAGCCAUCACGGUUUUGUGUGUGGUGAAUUUGUUUCCACUGCACAUUUUAAUUCGGAGCUCCUGAAGGUGUCUGUGUUUGUAAGGACUGUGUUUUUGGAGCUGCUCCCUCGGAGGUUUGGUGCUUGUUUCUCCUUCCCUCAAACUGGUUGGCUUUUUUGGCAAGACCGCCUAGGCUUCAGGAUUCUUUAGUCUAAUUUUCUUCUCCUUUUUCUUUUUUUUUCACCCCAGUAAUGAAUUCACGGCAUGUCUCUGGGAAAUUAAGGUUUCUUUUCUGGGAGCUGCUAUCACUGAAUACAUAAAGAAAUUGAGCCUAUAUGAUUUCAAUCUUCACCUUCUGAUGCUGAUGAAACAGGAUUCUAUGCAGUUUUCCACAGGGAGAAGCAGCAGGCUGAAGUGGCUCUUUAGGGAGACACAUACCUCCACAGGAAGAGCAGUCUAGAUUGUUUUAGCACAUUCCACUUAAGGAUUGCAGUGUGACAGCAGACCCAAUUGAGUCUGGAAGUAGCUCUGGGAUUUGCUGCAUGUUGCUGGCCCUGAGUUUUGGAGAGAAGCCCUGAUAAGACUAAGAGGGAUGCUGAUAACCUGGAGGGACAUUGAUGACAGAAAAUCCUCUCCAGUCAAGUAAUUGCAUCCAUUUCAUCUUCCCAGCCCUCCUCUAGAUGGGAGGUGGAGGUGUGUGUACCAAUCUCUUAAUUCAGAAAUGAGACAAGAGGAGGAAAAAGGAGUUCCGGAGGACAGUGGGGACCCCAGCCAGAGCCUGGGGACUUGGCUGCCUUGGAACCAGAACCUGGCCCCUCAGAGGAGUUGCAGAAUUUCGAUAGAGGAGUGGCAGGAGGUGUACUGGCUGAAGAGGAGGCCCAAGGAACUCCUUUUCAUACAUCAAAACUGAGCUUAUCACCUCUACCCUGAAGUCAUCCUGGACAUCACUGGUCCCAGUUAAUCACUCACUUAUCUUUGCCAUCCUUGACCUGGCUGGAGUGAGCCCUUGAGCUGACCCAGAAGUUCUGAGCAUUUAUCACCCAGUAUUGAUGACCAUGUAUUUUGCCUCCUCUCUUUAUGCCUAAAGAUGAAGGAAGAAAUACAAGCUCAUGUUACAAAGAGUAUUUCCUGGGUUUAUCAGCUCUCCCCCUCUCAGCUUGAGCUCUGAAUGAUUUCUUAGUUCUCAGCUUUUCUUCCUCUGAUCAAAGUGCCUGAGGCAGUGAGCACUGGGAGGGCAGGAGCAUUUCUGGCUGAGCCCAAUGCUCACCUCUUCUGGGCCGUUUUAGGAAGCUGUGGCCCAGUGUUCUCUGGUCAGACAAGCAUGGCCUGGCUGUGGAAGGGUCUCCAAAGGCUCAUGGGUCCCAGGUGCCCUGGAUUUUGAAGGCAGCUGCCCUGCCUCCACUGGGAGAAGAUUAAAGCCCCCUUUGCCUUUCUUCGUCCCUCCCUUUCCCACUCUGUUCACUCAAUCACUCUUUUCUCUCCAAUGAAUUAAAUGCAGAAAAUCCAUGAGCAGGAUUUCUCUCUUCAAAGGACCAAAUAACCUUCUUUCUAUUCCCCCUAAAUUUUUUUCCAAACUGCAAAAAGAAAACAUGCAAACAGACUUCAAGUUAAAGGUGAGAGAAAGAAAGAAAAAUUGAAGCAAAGUAAUUUUAACUUGAGAAGUAGAGCAGUUUAAACCCAGAAAAAAAAUGUACACUCCGCAAUAUAGUCCUUUCCUACAAAUUAAUUAACCCAAAGUACUUGUUUAAUUAGUGUGAGGGGUAGGGAAUUGAGUAGCUAACAAUAUCUCUCACCCAGUUUAGAAUUAUGUUCACAAAAGAAUUUCUUCUUCUUUUCCUGAAAGGGAAGAGAACGUUGCCCUCAUUGGUCUGGAAUCAGCAGGUACCUCAUGGCUGGAGGUGUAUUUUCAGGUGGGUUGGGACUUUGAAGAGGUGGCUUUUCCUAUGGACCCCUCUGACUCCCCACCUGUGGGCAUGACACAGGUGACCUGGCUGCCAGGGCAGAGGCUGCUUAGCCCUGCUCCAGAGAAACAGAGCUCUGAGGGCUUCCAGAAACCAGGGCUCCUGGCUCCUCAGUCCUUCCCACUCCUCUCUUCCUACUCCCGUGCUGCAUAUAAACUUUUCUUUUUUUUUCAGAUGGAGUCUCACUCUGUCACUCAGGCUGGAGUGCAGUGGUGCGAUCUCAGCUUACUGCAACCUCCGCCUCCCGGGUUCAAGUGAUUCUCCUGCCUCAGCUUCCCCAGUAGCAGGGACUACAGGACCACAGGUUACAGGCAUGAGCCACUGCACUUGGCCUGCAUAUAAACUUUUUGAGUUUCCUGCUUUUGACAUGAGCAUGGAUAUUUAUCACUUCUAGAGGCAUUAGGAGAACUCAAGUCCAAGUGCUCAGAGACCUACAGUGCAGCUUAAGACCCUGUCACAGGAAUCUUCGGGGUGGGGGCAUGCACGGGAGUUAUAGAGAGUUGGGGAAGGAUGAGUUCUCAACCAAUGCUUUCCUUUUUUCCACAGACUCCUUUGGCAUCUGGUGAGGCCUGUGGAUUCAUUCUCAGAAUCACAUUUUUAAAUGCACAUAAUAAAAUACAUAGAAUUGCAAAGGAAGUUAAUUAUAUUGAAAUACAGUUAUCAAAAAUAUAAAUAAAACAAGUAUGUGGUACAGUCAUAUGUGUGCUUCUUUAUUAAGUCAUUACAAAGCAAGAUCUAUUUGGAGGUCUAAUAACUGUCAUAUGCUUGAAAAAAUCCUUAACAAUCAUAAUAUAUUAAAAAAUCUGAUUUCUACUUUGGCAAAUCAUAGAUAUUGCUGAAACUGUGGUUUAUUGCCUGCAUUCAUAAUUGAAGGAAAUGCUAGAGUUCAGUGAGAAGGUUGUGAAAAUAAAGAGAGCCUUUUUUUCUCAUCAAG